rnacentral:lncRNA from 1 species
GAAGGAUUUUGAAACUUUGUAACUCAGAGGGGGCUUCUGAAAACACGCUCGAUUUCUUCCGCGAGUUUUCAGGCGGAGGAAAAAAGCGACCGGCGCCGUCGCCUGUAGCCACGCCCACUCGCAUGACAUCCCCCGCAGGCCACGCCCCGCGCACCUGUCCGCCAGGUUCUGCGGGAGAGAGGGGAGCUGGUUUGGUGUGUUCGGGCAGGACAAGCUUGGCUCAGCUGCUGGAAUCAUCAAUGAAACGAAGUUCCAGUCUUCAUUCUGGUCGCUGCCCCGACAGAUCCAUUGGAGAAACAGUAACGUGUCGUAUGUUUCUGUGCUUUUCCGUGUACUGUAGUUGCGUGCAAUUAUUUUUGUACACUGUUUAUUUGUAAAAGCUUUUAGCGUGAAUGUAUCCGUGCUUUGACACUUUGUAAUUUAAAUCCAUGUUACUUUUCACUUCAGAUCCUGUGCAUCUAUCGUAUGUAAUGGAAUGCGUUGUUUAAUGUUGCAUGCUAAUGUUUUUGUACUCUGCUUACUUGUAAAAAGUCUUUAGUGUUAAUGUAGCCUUGCUUUGACGCAUUGUAAUCUAAAAGGUGUUAAUUUUCAUUUCGAAUCUGUGCAUCGCUCGUACUGGAAUGCUUUGUUUUGUAUGCAACUUUCGCUCAAUAAAUUGUUGAUUGGAUU